GUUUGUAAUAGUUAUUGAGGGCGCGCGGUGGCGCUGUGGAGCUGCUGCACAGUGGCGGCUUUCAGAAGCGCAGCUGGAGGCGGAGAGUCCAGUGAUAGAUAGAUACACAGAGAUGUGGAGUGGAUGUUGACAAUGUAGCCGCUUGUUUGGACAGCUUCGCUGUUAUCUUCGUUUGUCUGUCGCCUGACCCGCAACUCUGACUUAAUUCACUGCGAGUUUGACACAUUUUACACAUCCAGGAACAGACUGAGCGAUGAACUCUGGAAGCGGACGAGAACAGUUCACUUGGACGCUUUGAGCAUUUCCAGCGAUGGACAAGCAGAAAGUGCUGGCUCGGCUGGUUUCGGACCUGCAGGCCUUCUUGCUGGUUCUGGACAGUGAAAAUCUCAGUUAUAUCGCUCAGGCCCAGAAAAAAUCAAUUUCAGAGCUGCUAUAUAAACUGCAGGACAACAAGGACGCACCAGAGGAUGCAGAGUACAUGAUUAUGAACUGUCCCUCUGGAGGCCCCAGUGAUCUCAGGGAAAGCACCACUGCUGAGGCUCAUUCGACGGAGGAAGCUCUUUCCGUCAGCUCUACUGACCGCCUGCAGCCCAGGUCUAUGAAUCCUGCUGUUCCCCCAAAUCCCCCGUGUUUAGAGGACGAGGACUGUUAUGAGGAGGCAGAACCAUUUGUCCCGGCCAGUCAGUCUACAGGUCAGUGUAACAGCUCAUUUUUAAAGGGAUACCUAAC
rnacentral:lncRNA from 1 species